rnacentral:rRNA from 1 species
AGAGUUUGAUCCUGGCUCAGAUUGAACGCUGGCGGAAUGCUUUACACAUGCAAGUCGAACGGCAGCAUAGAGAGCUUGCUCUCUGAUGGCGAGUGGCGAACGGGUGAGUAAUAUAUCGGAACGUGCCUAGUAAUGGGGAAUAACUAGCUGAAAGGUUAGCUAAUGCCGCAUACGACCUACGGGUGAAAGCAGGGGAUCUUCGGACCUUGCGUUAUUAGAGCGGCCGAUAUCUGAUUAGCUUGUUGGUGGGGUAAUAGCCUACCAAGGCGACGAUCAGUAGCUGGUCUGAGAGGACGAUCAGCCACACUGGAACUGAGACACGGUCCAGACUCCUACGGGAGGCAGCAGUGGGGAAUUUUGGACAAUGGGGGCAACCCUGAUCCAGCCAUUCCGCGUGAGUGAAGAAGGCCUUCGGGUUGUAAAGCUCUUUCGCAAGAGAAGAAAGCUUGCUAUUUAAUAAAUAGUAAGUAUGACGGUAUCUUGACAAGAAGCACCGGCUAACUAUGUGCCAGCAGCCGCGGUAAUACAUAGGGUGCAAGCGUUAAUCGGAAUUACUGGGCGUAAAGCGUUCGCAGGCGGUCUUAUAAGUCAGAUGUGAAAUCCCCGAGCUCAACUUGGGAACUGCGUUUGAAACUGUAAGACUAGAGUGUGUCAGAGGGGGGUAGAAUUCCAUGUGUAGCAGUGAAAUGCGUAGAUAUGUGGAGGAAUACCAAUGGCGAAGGCAGCCCCCUGGGAUAACACUGACGCUCAUGAACGAAAGCGUGGGGAGCAAACAGGAUUAGAUACCCUGGUAGUCCACGCCCUAAACGAUGUCUACUAGUUGUUGGUGGAGUAAAAUCCAUGAGUAACGCAGCUAACGCGUGAAGUAGACCGCCUGGGGAGUACGGUCGCAAGAUUAAAACUCAAAUGAAUUGACGGGGGCCCGCACAAGCGGUGGAUUAUGUGGAUUAAUUCGAUGCAACGCGAAAAACCUUACCUGGCCUUGACAUGUACCGAAUUUAGCAGAGAUGCUUUAGUGCUCGAAAGAGAACGGUAACAC